rnacentral:misc_RNA from 1 species
GAAAUGCGAUAAGUAAUGUGAAUUGCAGAAUUCAGUGAAUCAUCGAAUCUUUGAACGCACAUUGCGCCCGCCAGUAUUCUGGCGGGCAUGCCUGUUCGAGCGUCAUUUCAACCAUCAAGCCCCCGGCUUGUGUUGGGGACCUCCGGCUGCCCGCAGGCCCUGAAAAACAGUGGCGGGCUCGCUGUCACACCGAGCGUAGUAGCAUACAUUCUCGCUCAGGGCGUGCUGCGGGUUCCGGCCGUUAAACGACCUUCAUAACCCAAGGUUGACCUCGGAUCAGGUAGGAAGACCCGCUGAACUUAAGC